GAUGAACGCUAGCGGCAGGCCUAAUACAUGCAAGUCGAACGGUGUCUUCGGACAUAGUGGCGCACGGGUGCGUAACACGUAUGCAACCUACCUUACAUUGGGGGAUAGCCUUUCGAAAGGGAGAUUAAUACCGCAUAAGACAGUAGCUGGGCAUCCAGCAGCUGUUAAAGAUUUAUCGAUGUAAGCUGGGCAUGCGUCCAAUUAGCUAGUUGGUGAGGUAACGGCUCACCAAGGCAAUGAUUGGUAGGGGAACUGAGAGGUCAAUCCCCCACACUGGCACUGAGAUACGGGCCAGACUCCUACGGGAGGCAGCAGUAGGGAAUAUUGGGCAAUGGACGCAAGUCUGACCCAGCCAUGCCGCGUGCAGGAUGAAGGCGUUAUGCGUUGUAAACUGCUUUUAUACAGGAAGAAACGACUCUUGCGAGAGGCAUUGACGGUACUGUAUGAAUAAGCACCGGCUAACUCCGAAG
rnacentral:rRNA from 1 species